ensembl:snRNA U4 U4 spliceosomal RNA
AGCUUUGCACAGUGGCUGUAUCGUAGCCAAUGCGGUUUCUCCGAGGCACGAUUAUUGCUAAUUGAAAAAUUUCCCCUAAUUCCGC